rnacentral:lncRNA from 1 species
AAGGUGCCAUUUUGAUGGAGAUGAGAUAUGGAGUGGAAAUCCUGGACCUAAUGAGUUGGACUUGGAAUCAGUUGCAGUGCAUGAAAUCGGGCACCUUCUAGGUCUAGACCAUAGUGAAGACCCAAAUGCUAUAAUGUAUUCUACCUUUGAUUAUGGGAUUACCAAAAGGGAUUUGGGUACUGAUGAUAUUCAAGGAAUUCGUACUCUGUAUGGAUUGCAGUAAUGAGUUCAUUAUUCUUAUUACAAUAAGAGCAACUGAGAUCCAAUAUGCUUUGGAGGGUUUAGUGCUACGUAGUUUGAAUAUAAUAUUUUUGAUAAUUCUCAUUUGUAUCACUAGGAAAUAUAUAAAUAAAAGAAAUCUCAUGGUUUUGUAAUUUCAAAUCCUUUUAAAACUAUAUGACUUCUUUAUAAAAUCUCUACACAAAGAUGUAAAAAAGAAAAAAAAAAAAAUCAAAUGUCUUAAUGAUCAGUAUUGAGUAUAAUUAAUUAAACUUGUAUAAUGCAUUAAUUUUAUUUCCAUUUGACUAUUAUUUUAAUUUUACAGUCCUUUUAAAUGAUAAAAUUACUUAUCUUACAAAUUAAAAUAUAUAAUUAAAAAAUAUAUAUGUAUUCCAUCUAUUUCAAUUUACCAACUUUAUUACAAGUGAAUGAAUACUUUUUUACGAAAUAAUCUUUUAAAAGCAAAUACUAUAAUUUUUAGAUUUAGUUAGUGGAAAGACAUAAUUAAAACAGAGAAAUCAAUAUUCAAUAUGUAGAAGGAUUUGAUUUAAAUUUUAGCAGAAGUCCCAAGAUUUUUUUAUGAUUUUUCAAUAUCGGGAACUAUAAGUAUUGAUUAAAAUGAUUUCUAAAAGUUAAUUUAUUUUUAAAUAUAUCUUUGACAAAUCCAACUAGAGAAAAAUUAUAACAAGAUUAGGGAUGGCAGGCGGGCGGGUUUUCAUGGGUAUCCGAUCCGCCCAAACCCUAUUAGGACGGAUUUGGUUUUUACAAAAUGGAUUUGGGCGAAUUCGGAUUUGAAAAAUUUUACCCGUCUCGGAUUCGGGUAGGGUUCGGGAUUAGGUAAUCGGAUACCCAUUACCCGAACCCGAUUAACUAUACUAACAAAACUAACCCUAAUCUCUAAUUUAUUUUUUUAUUUUACUCUUUCCUCUCUUCAUCUACAUCUCUCUCUCCCUCGCUUCCCUUCCCAUAGUUCUCAGCCACGCCCCUCCCCCACUUCACUGCCGGCAGCCCAGUCGUCACCGGCGACGUCUCCUUUCUCUCCCCAGUCGACGAUAAAUCUUCUCUUUCCUCCGUCAGCAAUAUCUCCUUCUCUCUCUCCAGCGGCGACAUCUCCGACUUUCCAGUUGAAGACAACUCUUCCCUGUGCCCGGUCGACGUCGGCGAUAUCUCCUUCUCUCUUCCUAGUCGGGUGAAAUCUACUCUUUUCAAUUUACGCUUCUCUCCCCGCACUUCACUGACGCUAGAGACAACCCUUCUCUCCUCAAUCGGCGACAUCUGCUUUGACUAGAACUCUCUUCAGGUUUCAAGAUCUUUUAUGUGUAUGUUCUUAAAGAAUUUUAUAAUUUAUAAACUAUUAAUCUGAUUAUUUGGAUAUAUUAAAAAAUCUAAUUAUUUGCUAUUUGAUUAAUGUAAUACUGUUGAUUUUUAAAAUUUAUGGACAAUUAUCUAAUUAUUUGAUUAUAAAUCAAUAUUUGUUGGGUUGCUGAGUUGCUGGUUCUUGUCAUUGAACAUUUCUCCUCCUACUGAAUUGUGCAACUGUUAGAUAGUUUAUUUGGUUUUGUCAUUGAAUGAAAUUAAAAAAAUUAUUUGCUGAGUUGCUGGUUUGUAUCGAGUUCGGGUAUUGUGCGGGUAUUGUUAAACGGGUUUGGAACGGGUUCGGAUAGUAAAAUUAAAAUAUUAAACGAGUUUGGGACGGGUUCGGGAAUUGUAUAUAUAAUCGGGUUUGGGUUUGGGUACUCUCAAUUUCGCGGGUACCCUACCCAUUUACAUCCCUAAACAAGAUAAGUAUCGAUUAAAAUGAUUUCUAAAAGUUAAUUUAUUUUUAAAUAUAUCUUUAACAAAUCCAUCUAGAGAAAAAUUAUAACAAGAUAAUUCUUCAAUAAUAAAUUUGCCAUACAAACAUAGGUUUUUCUAUUUCAAAGUUACUUAGUUCUUCUCUAUAAAAUGUGAAUUACCUUAUGCACUAUAAAAAAACCUUCGGAUUAUCCACAGAUUUUAUCAACGAAUUUUAAUCUGUUAAUAAUUUUAAUAAAUUUAAAAAUUAAUUAGUAAUUUUUAUAUAAUUUAUAUGUAUUAUUAAAAAAAUUUAAAAAUGAGUGGUAAUUUAUAAAUAAUUAAAAUAAUCGGUGAUGAAAUUUCCUAACGAAUUUAAAACCUAUUAGUAAAUUCUUUGAUAAUUUACUAAUAAAUUUCAAUAUGUCAGUAAAUCUAAAAAAAUAUUUAAAUUAAUAACAAAUUAUAAAUCUAUUACUAAUAUAUUUAAAAAAUCAUUAUCGAAUUUAAAAAUUUAUUAUUAAAUUUUAUUAUUAUAUUAAUAAAUUAAAAAAAUAUUAAAUUUAUCGAUGUUAUCCAUUAGUAAAUCAUUGAUAAAUUUAAAAUGAAAUCAGAUGUAAAAUUUUUACUUUUUCUUUAGAUUUAUAGUUGUCGGUUAAUGACGAAUUUCAAAUCCGUCGAGAAAAAAUCUAAUUUCUUUUUUUGUAAAAUUUAGUAACGAAUUAUGAAUCCAUUACUAAUUCAUAUUUAUAAAUAUAACACUAUCUCUUUUUCUUUUAUUACUCAUUCAUUUUAUCAUUUUUUUUUAUUUUUUUUCCCUUUCUCUCAUUUUUUUUCUUUUUCUAUUAUUUUCUUUUUCACUUUAUUAUUUCAUAAUUUUUUUUAUUUUUUCUAUUAUUUUCUUUUCUAUCUCUUAUAUUUUUUUUCUCUCAUUCUCUUUUCUCUUUUAUUAUUUUUUUCAUUUUUUUCUCAUAAUUUUCUUUUAGCUUUCUCCAUUAUUUUUCCAUCAUUUUCUUCCCUUUACCUCUCAUUUUCUUCAUUUUCUAUAUAAUUCAUUCAUAUUGCCCUUAUUUGAAAUGUCAAAUUUUGAAAGAAUUCGAAAAAUAAAUAAAUUCCUUUAUUAAAUUUUUGUGUUUGGUACAAUCAAUAAUAUAAAAUUUUAAUUUUCUUGAUUUUCGUGAGAAUUGAUUUUGAAUUAAAAGUAAAUUUUGCCAAAAUUAUUGAAUUUUUACAAAAAAAAAAUUUUAUUUAAAGUUACAUCAAAAUUACUUAAUUAGCCAUUGAAUUUUUUUUUUAAAUUUAAUUUUAAAUUUAUUUCUUAUUUUUAAUUAAUAAUUACUCUUUAUAAAAAUUAUUUUAAUUUAAUAGUAACUAUUAAUAUUUAAUGCAUUUAUAAUUAAUAUUAACAAAUUUAUUAUAUUAUUUUAUUAAUUUUAAAAAUAUUUUUUAUAUUUUAAUGGUAAAAAAUUACGUAAAAUUCAAACUUUAAAUAUUAAUAAUGAUUGUGAUAAAAAUGAAUGUUAUUUAUAAAAAUAAAUAUUUAUAUUUGUUUAAAAAUAAUAAGAAUAUAAAUGAAUUAAAUUAAAUUAAAUUUUAUUAUUAAUUUGUCUAACAUAAAUGAGUUAAAUUGAAUUCUAUUAUAUUUAAAUUGAUUCUAAAUAAAUGAAUUUUUUCAGAAAUAAAUUGAAUUUUUUAAUGAAUUGCAUACCAAAUAAGGGCAUUAAUUACUCUCAUAUUAUAUUCUUUUAUCAUUUUUCUUCUAUCAAUAUUUCUUUCUAUUAUUCUCUUUUUUUUUAUUUUCUUGUAUAAUUAUUUGUCCCUUUUUUUUCAUUUCUCUAAUCAUUAUUUUACUCUAUAUUCAUUCUUCCUUCUUUUUUCAUAAUUUUUAUUUUUUUAUUAUUUUCUUUUUUUAUCAUUUUCUCUUCAUCUAUAUUAUUUAUUUUUCUCUUAUUUUUAUUUUUAUGUAUUUCUAAUAAAUAUUGAAUAUAAAUUAAGAAUUUAGUAACAAUAAUAAUAUAAUUUUAAAUUUUAUUGAAGUAAUAAAAAAUAAUAUUAAUAAUAAAAUUUAUUAUUUAAUUAAAAUAAUAAUUAUUUUUAAAUUAUUUAAAUUUUUAAUAUGAAUUUAGUGACAAAUUGCAAUCUGUUAUUAAUUUAUUAAUGGAUUUAUCAACAGUAUCUGUUAAUAAAAUAUUUUUCUUUCAAUUUAUUAAUAAAUUUAAAAUUCAUUAGUAAUAAUAACAGAAAUUUCACUGAUAAAUAUGUUAAUAUUUUUUAAUAGACUUAAAAACUAUUGGUAAAAAUUUAUCGACGAAUUUUUUCAUAACGGAUUGUAAUCCAUUAGUAAUCAUUAUAAACGAAUUACUAAUAAAUUUUAAUUAAUUAGAUUAUUAACGAAAAAAUUCAUUGAUAAUGCAAAAAUUUCUUAACAAUCAUUUGACUGUUAUCUUAAUUUUACAGUCUCUUAAAUGAUAAAAGUGAUAGGAUGCAAAUUCUGCCUAUUUAGUAUAUGUUUUAAUAUAUUUAAUUUGAUUUGAUUUUGCUAAAUUAUGAAUAUUUUUUUCCCUUUUAUAAUAUUAGCCAAUUUUAUUCAUUCUAGAAAGAAAAAUUCUAUUUUAAAAGUUUAGACAAGAAUCAGAAUUGGAGUCCUAAAUCUAGCCUUGAACAUGUCUUAUACUGUGAGCACAACUUAUAUGAGUUAACUUAUAGUGAGAAGUGAAUGGAGUCAUGAAAUAAAUCUUAGGCAUGCUUCAUAUAAAGGUCACACAUAGAAUUUAUUGAAAAGCAAGUAAAGCUAUAGAGUAAACCUUGGGCUAAGCAUGCACAGACUUAUGCAAUGUCACAGAAUUUUCAUAUCUAAUUCUCUAUUAAAUUGUAAAAAUCAAUUUAGGAAGAAAUGAUUUUACAAAGAAAUGACACUUUUAGAUUGUUACUUCUAGAUUUUCUUUUAUUUCUCUUUAGUUUAGGAUUACUCUCGUUUAAAAAAUGGAAGGUUCUUUGAAUGGGAGAACUUUUGAAACUCAUGAUGCUUUACUUUUUUGCUUUUAUGAUUAGUUCUUUGAAUGGAAAAAUGGAAGAUUCUUUGAAUUAAAAAAACACAUAAAAAAAUAUUCACACAAGUGUAAUCAAACUGAACUGAACUGAUUUUUGUAAAAUUUAGAUUCAUUUAUUAAAAAAUUUUAAAAAUUCGACCUCGAGCUGGUUUAAACUCAAUUCGAAAAUUAAAUACUAUAAUCGAGUUCAGUUCACACUCGACUCAUAAAAAACUCGUUUAGUAUAAUAACGAAUCUAAUAACUUGACUCAUAAAAAACUCAUUUAGUAUAAUAAUGAGUCUAAUUUCAACUUUAAUAUGAAAAUUUGAAUUAAAAAAUUUAAAUUCGAAAAAUUCAAUUAAAAAACUCCAACUCGAAAAAUUCUAAAACAAUUUGAUGAUUUAUUUUUAAUUGUAAUCAAUUAAAUUAAAAGUUAAAACAAUAUAUUAUCAUUUAAUUCACAUCAGAUCAACUUACCUUGCGUCCAUCUAAAGAUACUAAUUAAUUAAUUAGUUAGAAGACCUUCUAGAGUGUCAAUAGCAAUAAUGCCGAUGAAAUAGGAUCUCCACACUUGCUUUUCGUUGUUUAUAAAGGAAUUUAAUAAGAAUGUUUUUAAAGUGUUGAUUUGAUUUGUCCGCAUAAAUUGAGGGAAAAAGAACAAAAAAGGAAAGGACGAAGCAAUUCAUAUAUAUAAUAACAAGUUUUUCCAAAAAGAGAAAACACGAUAUUUUUUCCUAAAUCUAAACUAAAAACAGACUUUAAAAAAAAAAAAAAACUGUAUGCAUGUUUCUCCAAAAUUUAACAAGGAUUCGAGUAUGUGUCUCCAAAAUUUAGUAGAAAAUUUUGAAUAUGCAAAUUAACAAUUUAUUUGAGUGUAUAAAUAAUUUGGAUUGAACAAAUAAUUUUCUCAAUUUCCUCAUUUUUUAGGAAGGCUUUGUAGUGCGUCAAGGGCAGUGGGUUCCAAGCAACUAAAUAAUUAGAUUGACUUCCCACUUGCUUUUCCUUUUUGGCAACGGGAAAAUAAGACCACUUAAUGAGAAUUACUAGGAAAUGAUAAACAUCAAUAAAUAAAUAAUUCAAGAGGAAGACUAGGUAGACUAUUCUUCUGAUGGCCAGAAAUUUUCAUAUACUUUAACAUAGAAAUUAAGAAUUUUCCUUCAGUCUAAAUUAACCCCUUGUCGAAGGCAAGACUUUUAUAAGUCUUUCUAAGUAAACAUAUAUAGAAACUAAGCACUAUAAAUAGAUACAGAAACUCCAUUCAUUCCCACCAAACAUAAGCACUAAUCUCCAACCUCAAUUGAUUGGUAGUUGGAGACUUUUAGCAGCUCAAUCCAAUGAUUCCUAAAACCUUCCAACUUUUUGGAGCCAUUUUGCUCCUCUUCUUGUUUCAGUUACCAAACAGAAUCCAAUCAAAACCAAGUGGAAAUCCUUUUGGGUUUAUCCAACACCUAGAGGGAUGCCACAAGGGUGAAUCUAUAAGUGGGCUCAAGGACCUUAAACGAUAUCUUGAGAAAUUUGGGUACUUGAAUUACGCCGAAAAAAGCAGAAACAACCAUGCAAAUGAUGAUGAGUUUGAUGAUCUUUUGGAGGCAGCAAUCAAGGAUUACCAACACUACUAUCACCUGCAAGCCACAGGAGUUUUAGACAAUAAUACAGUAUCUCAAAUGACGAAACCUAGAUGUGGGGUGCCAGAUGUUGUAAAAAAUGGCACAAACAAGCACUACCAUAAUCCCAAAUCCAUCCACUCAGUAGCCCAUUUCAGCUUCUUCCCUGGACCCCGAAGAUGGCCAGCUGAGAGAAGCCAUUUAAGAUACAGGUUUCGUUCCAGUGUGCAAGUCCCUGGAACUGGAAACUUCAGGUCUAUAUGUGCACAAGCUUUUCAGAGAUGGGCACAAGUUACCCACUUCACAUUCGAGGAAGUUGAUGCUAAUUCUGAGGCAGAAAUCGAGAUUGGAUUUCACAGGAGGUUCCAUGGAGAUGGGAACCCUUUUGAUGGAAUAUCAGGGACUUUAGCACAUGCAUUUGCACCAACUAAUGGAAGGUGCCAUUUUGAUGGAGAUGAGAUAUGGAGUGCAAAUCCUGGACCUAAUGAGGUGGACUUGGAAUCAGUUGCAGUGCAUGAAAUAGGGCAUCUUCUGGGUCUUGACCACAGUGAGGAUCGAAAUGCUAUAAUGUAUUCUACCUUUGAUUAUGGGAUUACCAAAAGGGAAUUGGGUACUGAUGAUAUUCAAGGAAUUCGUACUCUGUAUGGAUUGCAGUAAUAGUUGCAUUAUUUUAUUGUAAUAAGAGCAAUUGAGAUCCAAUAUGCUUUGGAGGCUUAGUGCUAUAUUGUUCGAAUGUAAUAUUUCUAAUAUUUUUCCCUUAUAUCACCGGUUAAAAGAAUCACAUGGCUGCUUAAAGGUUUUAUGAUAUAGGACUAAUUAGAUUUCGUCAAGAGUUUUAACUGAUAAUAUUUUAAUGGAUUUAUUAAUGGAUCUUAUAUUUAUUAGUAAAUUAUUUUUCUUUUAAUUUACUAUAAAUCUAAAAUCCGUUAAUAAUAAUAACGGAAAUUCCAUUAGUAAAUAUGUUUAUAUUUACUAAUAGAUUUAAAAAUCGUUGACAAGCUUUUUAAUAAGGGAUUGUAAUCCGUUGGUAAACAAAUUAUCAAUGGAUUUUUAUUAGAUUACCAAUGAAAAAAUUUGUUGGUAAUGCAGAAGUUUCUUGUAGUGAGAUUCACCAUUAUCUUAAUUUUAUAAUUUCUUAAAUAAUAAAAGUGAUAGGAUGCAAAUUCUGCCUAUUUAAUAUAUAUUUUAACGUAUUUAAUUUGAUUUGAUUCUGUUAAAUUAUAGUUAUUUCUUUUCCUUUUGUAGUAUUGACAGAUUUUAUUCAUUCUGAAAAGAAAAGUUUUAUUUUGAAUGUUUAGACAAGAAUUAGAAUUGGAGUCGUAAAGCUAGUCUUGAGUACGUCUCACACACAGUGAGCACAACUUACAUUAAAUGACUUAUACGGAGCAAUGAAUAGAGUCAUGAAAUAAAUCUUAGGCACGCUUCAAAUCAUGGUCGCAAAUAGAAUUCAUUGAGAAGCAAAUAAAACCAUAGAGUAAACCUUGGACUAAGCGUACACAGAUUUGUAGCAUAACUUAUGCAAUAUCACGGGAUUUUCAUAUCUAAUUCUUUAUUAAAUUGCAGAAACCAGUUUAUGAAGAAUUGAUUUUAGAAAGAAAAAAAACUUUUAGAUGGUUACUUCUAGAUUUUUUUUAUUUCUCUUAAGAAAAGUUCUUUGAAGUGAGAACUUUUGAAACUUCUUAUACUUUACCUUUUUGCUUUUAUAAUUGGUUGCGACAUGAGUUACGGUGGCAAAUCUUUUUUAUCUAGUUAGGGAACUUUCGAGGUGUAUCCUUCUUAUUUUUAGUUUUUAUAUUAUCCCUUUGUUCUUUAGAAUUUUAUUUAUUUAAUUGAUGUAAUAUAUCCAAUUGCUCAAUUGAGUAAAUAGCAUAUAAUCAUUUAAAUUCAUUUAGUCUCUUCUUAUUUCUAGUUUCUAUAUUAUUCUUUUAUUCUUUAGAAUUUUAUUUAUUUAGUUGAUGUAAUCUAUCCAAUUGCUCAAUUGAGUAAAUAACAUAUAAUCAUUCAUAUUCAUUUAGUCAGUAAUUAUUUGUGAGUUUUAUAUUUGUGACAAACAAUAUUUUAUUGUGAAAUAAGAUAUUAUGAUUUCAUAGUUGCGCUGGUAUGACCUUCUUGGUUAGAAUCGGGUCUUUCUAAUUUUAAAUGCCGUUAUCAAAUUAAAUCUUAUUAAAUUUAUCAUAUAGUUUGUUUGUUGAUUAGGGGCUAAUUAGUAAACUGAUCCUUUUUAGUCUAUUAUCUAACGAAAAAUUAAAUUGUUAGAACGUGUCAAUAAUUAUAACUAGCUGACCAGAAAUUAAUUUAAAUAUUCUUGCAUCUAUGAUCAAUCUCGAAAAUUAACACCAAGAUACUCUCGAAAUUAAAUAUUUUUUAAAUCUAAUUAAUCUCUUUAAUUAUUUGCUUCUUAAUUAGUUUACUUUUACAUUCAAUUAAAUCUCUUUAAUCUAAAACCCCAUACUUUUAUAUUUUAUUUUACUUUAUUUUUAGAGUAAACUACAAUUUAGUCCCUCUAGUUUAGUGAAAUAUAACCUUUCAUCCCUCUGUUUUUAAAAAUCGUCAAUUUAGUUACUGUGAUUUUUAAAAAUUAUGCCAUUAGUCCCUCCCGUUAGAUUUUCAGUUAAGUCACCAUUAGUUUUAGUUAAAAGACUAAAAUACCCAUUCUCUCAUCCACCUCAUCAGUCUAUCAUGGAAUUGUGUCCUCUGUUGCCAUGGAUGUCUAGAGCUUCCACAAGAAAAACAAGGGUGUUAAGUUAACAGUGGCAAAGAAAUCUUACAGACAAUUAGUAAGAAAUUUUACAUGAUAAGACCAAAGAACUUGGUCUUGGAUCCCACUUUGGAUGUUCAGAUUUUGAAAUCAAAACAAAAUUUUUUUAAAUAAGCAACUGAUAAUCACAACAGAGGGACCAAUAGCAUAAUUUUUAAGAUAGAGGAUCUUGAAGAUGGAGGAGUACUCAUUUCGAAUCAUCCUAAAAAAAGCCCGAAUCGAGAGUUUUGCUUCGUGGGUUUGCAGAUAUGGAUGCUAGAACUCCAUUCUCUCACCCACAAUUCCAUCGACUGCAAUUCCAUGAUAGAAAAUAGCUGGAGAGAAUUGGAAAGAACCUUUGGAGAAAGAUCAUAGACAUUAGAACAGCGCAUGCUGAUUAACCUACGCAAGCAUUUGACUUCUGCGGCCACAUCGGCCGUGUUCAUCCGUACCUUCACCAUAUCUUCUCCCUAUUCAAAGAUCGCUCUUUAUCUCUGUGUCCUUGUGAAUGGAACUGGAGAAGAUAUCCGUAGCAAAAGGAGUUGUCUUUCGAUUUCAAAAUAUGGAGAAAGGUCUUCGCCUUGCUCGCUACCGCCUGGUGCCUGGAUAAUUUCCAGUUCCGACAUGCUUUGCGAUGUCGUUUUGUCCAUCAUCUUUGAAGAAUACACUUGCUGCAAAAUAUGUGAUCAAAAUCUGUAGCUUAAGUGUUCGGUAGAAGUAGGUGGCUUCAUUUAAUGUUUACUGUUACCAUUGCUUGAUCUGUUGCUUAAAACACUCUCUGCCACAAUUGUUGAUGAUGUUGUCUUGCUAGAGUUGUUUUCUAAAGAGUUUUGAAGAAACACAAUCCAUUGAUAGACUGAUGAGGUGGGUGAGAGAAUGGGUAUUUUAGUUUUUUAACUAAAACUAACGAUGACUUAACUGAAAAUCUAACGGGAGGGACUAAUGGCAUAAUUUUUAAAAAUCACAAUGACUAAAUUGAUGAUUUUUUAAAACAGAGGGACGAAAUGUUAAAUUGCACUAAACUAGAGGGACUAAAUUGUAGUUUACCCUUAUUUUUAUCAAGGAAUAAAAUUAAACAGUAAUUUUUGAAUUUAAUCCUACUCACUAUAUUUAUAAUUAUUUAUAAUAAGAGCAUGAUUUAUUUUUAUUGGAUUCGACACCUAUUAAAAAUUAUUUUAAAAUAACUUAUUUUACAAAUCAAAAUACAUAAUUAUAAAAUAAUAUAUGAAUAUAUUCCUCUUAUUUUGAUUAACAAAAUUUAUUAUAAAAUCAUGAUUUAUGCAUUCAAGGUUCAAUGUACACAAUAAUAAACACUUCUUUUACAAAUUAAUAUUUCAAAAAUAAAUACUAUAGUUUUUAAAUUUAUUUAAUAAAAAAACAUAAUUAAGUCAGAAGAAUGGAUUUUAAAAGAAGCUUUUAUACGUGUAAAAGUUGAGAAAAUUACAAAACCUAAUACAAAUAAAUCAAUACGAAGAUGGAUGAUUUGGUUGCUCCAUUUACAAACUGAUCUUUUAUUAAUAAAUUAUUUAAAAUUAUAAUACAUGGUAUAUAAAUUAAAAACUAUAGAUAAUAAUUAAAUUGGUUAUAAUAUUUAUUAUUAUAUAAUAAAAAUUAUAUACAUAUAAAAAAUAAUUAUAUUUUCAAUUAUAUUAUAUAUGUUAUAUAAUAAAUUAAUAUUUUUAUAUUUAUUUUAUUAACAUAGUAAAUUAAUAAUAUCGUCAUUAGUCAUUUUAUAUGUCUAGACAUAGUAUACAAAAGCAGGCUUAGCCUGGUGGAAAGUGCAUCCUGUAGCCUUGAAAGGUCUAAGGUUUGACUCCUCCAACCCCUAUUUCAAAAAAAAAAAAAAAGACAUAAUAUACAAAACACAUAAGGUAUAUCAGUUAAAAUUAAUUACCAGCGAUAAACUAUCAAUAACUAUUAUCAAUUAUAUUUAACAGGUAAAUAAAACAUUUUUUAAUUUGAUAGUGAUUAUUCUCUGAUUAGCUUUCAGUUUACACUGCACUAUCAAUUGCAAUUUAUUCCUUUUGAAUUAAUAUAUUUUUUUAAUUCAAAUAAAAUUAAGCUCCUAAUUUUUUUUAAGCAAUGAGUUAUGCCAAUGCAUUCAAUUUGUUUUUCCAUAUUACAAGACUAAUUAAAUUAAUUUAGUCAUCGUUGAAUUAAGCAAUUUAAGUUUUCCUAUAAUGAAAAAAAACUUACGAAAAACACUUAAAAAAAACAUUCAUCAGACAUAUAAUUGAAUCGAGUCGAAUUAAUUUUUAUAAAGCACACAUUUGUUUAUUAAAAAAUUUUGGAAACUCGACCUCAAACUGACUUCAACUCGAUUCAAAAAUUAAAUAUUAUAAUAGAAUUCGGUUCGAACUCGACACUUUAAAAACCCGUUUAAUAUAAUAAUGAGCCUAAUUUAACUCGUAAAAAAUUUAUUUAAUAUAAUAAUAAAUCUAAUUUAAAUUUAAAUUCGAGAAACUCAGAUUAAAAAGUUCGAGCUCGAAAAAUACUAAAAUAAUUGGAUGAUUUAUUUCUAGCUUUAAUCAAUUAAAUUAAAAGUUAAAACGAUAUACUAUUAUUUAAUUCACAUCAGAUCAACUUAUCUUGCAUCCAUCUAAAGAUAUCAAAUAAUUAAUUAGUUAGAAGACCUUCUAGAGUGUCAAUAACAAUAAUGCCUAUGAAAUAGUUUUCUCCCCACUUGCUUUUCAUUGUUUAUAAAGGAAUUUAAUAAGAAUGUCUUAAAAGUGUUGAUUUGAUUUGUCGACAUAAAUUGAGAAAAAAAAAAAAGAACUGGAAACGACGAAACAAUUCAUAUAUAUAAUAACAAGUUUUUCCAAAAAGAGAAAAGACAAUAUUUUCUCCUAAAUCUAAAGUAAAAACAGACUUAAAAAAAAAAAAAAGAAACUGUAUGUUUCUCCAAAAUUUAACAAUAAUUCGUGUAUGUGUCUCCAAAAUUUAAUAUAAAAUUUUGAAUAUGCAAAUUAACAAUUUAUUUGAGUGUAUCAAUAAUUUGGAUUGAACAAAUAAUUUUCUCAAUUUCCUCAUUUUUUAGGAAGGCUUUGUAGUGCGUCAAGGGCAGUGGGUUCCAAGCAACUAAAUAAUUAGAUUGACUUCCCACUUGCUUUUCCUUAUUGGCAACGGGAAAAUAAGACCACUUAAUGAGAUUAAUUACUAGGAAAUGAUAAACAUCAAUAAAUAAAUAAUUAAAGAGGAAGACUAGGUAGACUAUUCUUCUGAUGGCCAGAAAUUUUCAUAUACUUUAACAUAGAAAUUAAGCAUUUUCCCUGAGUCUAAAUUAACCCCUUGUUGAAGACAAGACUUUUAGAAGUCUUUCCUACUAAUCAUAUAUAGAAACUAAGCACUAUAAAUAGAUACAGAAACUCCAUUCAUUCCCACCAAGCAAAAGCACUAAUUUCCAACCUCAAUUGAUUGGUAGUCGGAGAAUUUUAGCAGUUCAAUCCAAUGAUUCCUAAAAACUUCCAACUUUUUGGAGCUAUUUUGCUCCUCUUCUUGUUUCAGUUACCAAACAGAAUCCAAUCAAAACCAAGCGGAAAUCCUUUUGGGUUUAUCCAACACCUAGAGGGAUGCCACAAGGGUGAAUCUAUAAGUGGGCUCAAGGACCUUAAACGAUAUCUUGAGAAAUUUGGGUACUUGAAUUACGCCAAAAGUAACAGCAACAACCAUGCAAAUGAUGAUGAGUUUGAUGAUCUUUUGGAGGCAGCAAUCAAGGAUUACCAACACUACUAUCACCUGCAAGCCACAGGAGUUUUAGACAAUAAUACAGUAUCUCAAAUGACGAAACCUAGAUGUGGGGUGCCAGAUGUUGUCAAAAAUGGCACAAACAAGCACUACCAUAAUCCCAAAUCCAUCCACUCAGUAGCCCAUUUCAACUUCUUCCCUGGACCCCGAAGAUGGCCAGCUGAGAGAAGCCAUUUAAGAUACAGGUUUCGUUCCAGUGUGCAAGUCCCUGGAACUGAAAACUUCAGGUCCAUAUGUGCACAAGCAUUUCAGAGAUGGGCACAAGUUACCCACUUCACAUUCGAGGAAGUUGAUGCUAAUUCUGAGGCAGAAAUCGAGAUUGGAUUUCACAGGAGGUUCCAUGGAGAUGGGAACCCUUUUGAUGGAAUAUCAGGGACUUUAGCACAUGCAUUUGCACCAACUAAUGGAAGGUGCCAUUUUGAUGGAGAUGAGAUAUGGAGUGCAAAUCCUGGACCUAAUGAGGUGGACUUGGAAUCAGUUGCAGUGCAUGAAAUAGGGCAUCUUCUGGGUCUUGACCAUAGUGAGGAUCGAAAUGCUAUAAUGUAUUCUACCUUUGAUUAUGGGAUUACCAAAAGGGAAUUGGGUACUGAUGAUAUUCAAGGAAUUCGUACUCUGUAUGGAUUGCAGUAAUAGUUGCAUUAUUUUAUUG